UAUUAUUCGAUCUACUUUAUCUAUAGUUCUAUCAUUUGUUCUGUCUAACCUCUGCUGUAUGUUUGCAGUUGGGUGGCGGUGCUGUUCUGGGUCAGAAGGGAGAAAAAGGAGAACCUGCAGUGAUUGAGCCGGGAAUGCUGAUUGAAGGACCUACUGGACUACCUGGACCUGCUGGUCUUCCAGGCCCUUCAGGUUUACAAGGCCCCCCUGGUUCAGCCGGAGAUUCUGGUGACAGGG